ensembl:lncRNA
UUAAAUGGGGGAUUUGCGAAGAGAAAACGCGUGAUUUUCGGUUAAAUGGGGGAUUUGCGAAGAGAAAACGCGUGAUUUUCGCUUAAAUGGGGGAUUUGUGAAGAGAAAAUGCGUCAUUUUCGGGUUAAAUGUGGGAUUUGUGAAUAGAAAACACGUGAUUUUCGCUUAAAUGGGGGAUUUGCGAAGAGAAAACGCGUGAUUUUCGAGUUAAAUGGGGGAUUUGCAAAGAGAAAACGCGUCAUUUUCGGGUUAAAUGUGGGAUUUGCGCAGAGGAUAUGAGUGAUUUUCGGGUUAAAUGGAAGAUUCUCCAAGAGAAAACGCAUGAUUUUCGGGUUAAAUGGCGGAUUUGCGAGGAGGAUAUGCGUGAUUUUCGAGUUAAAUGGGGGAUUUGCGAAGAGAAAACGCGUCAUUUUCGAGUUAAAUGGGGGAUUUGCGAAGAGAAAACGCGUCAUUUUCGAGUUAAAUGGGGGAUUUGCAAAGAGAAAACGCGUCAUUUUCGAGUUAAAUGGGGGAUUUGCGAAGAGAAAACGCGUGAUUUUCGCUUAAAUGGGGGAUUCUUGAAGAGAAAACGAGUGAUUUUCGGUUAAAUGGGGGAUUUCCGAAGAGAAAACGCGUCAUUUUCGAGUUAAAUGGGGGAUUUGCGAAGAGAAAACGCGUGAUUUUCGCUUAAAUGGGGGAUUUGCAAAGAGAAAACGCGUCAUUUUCGAGUUAAAUGGGGGAUUUGCGAAGAGAAAACGCGUGAUUUUCGCUUAAAUGGGGGAUUCUUGAAGAGAAAACGAGUGAUUUUCGGGUUAAAUGGAAGAUUUCUGAAGAGAAAGCGUAUGAUAUUCGGGUUAAAUGAGGGAUUCUCGAAGAGAAAACACGUGUUUUUUAGUUAAAUGGGGUAUUAGCGAAGAGAAAACGCUUGAUUUUCAGUUAAAUGGGGGAUUCUCAAAAAGAAAACGUGAUUUUCGAGUUAAAAGGUGGAUUUGCAAAGAGAAAACGCGUGAUUUUCGGGUUAAAUGGGGGAAUCUCGAAGAGAAAACGCGUGAUUUUUGCUUCAAUGGGCGAUUUCCGAAGAGAAAACGCGUGAUUUUCGUUAAAUGGGGGAUUUGCGAAGAGAAAACGCGUGAUUUUCGCUUAAAUGGGGG